CAGUCGCCGCGGGAAUACGAAGGGUGCAAGCGUUACUCGGAAUUACUGGGCGUAAAGCGUGCGUAGGUGGUGGUUUAAGUCCGUUGUGAAAGCCCUGGGCUCAACCUGGGAAUUGCAGUGGAUACUGGGUCACUAGAGUGUGGUAGAGGAUAGUGGAAUUUCCGGUGUAGCAGUGAAAUGCGUAGAGAUCGGAAGGAACAUCUGUGGCGAAGGCGACUAUCUGGACUGAUACUGACACUGAGGUGCGAAAGCGUGGGGAGCAAACAGGAUUAGAUACCCCCGUAGUCCCUGUCUCUUAUAC
rnacentral:rRNA from 1 species